GGUUGAAGUCUCGGUUUGAUAUGUCGUUAGCUAGCUAGAGGAAACAGAAGCGUCAAUAUAGCGGAAGUGGUACUGCCCUGAACGAUUCUAGGAGCGAGACGGAGGACGGAGGUUGCAUCUCUCAGAGAAAAAAAACAGGAAUUAGAGCCGUAAAUAUUACUGAAAAAUGGACAAGAACGACCUAGUACAAAAGGCUAAGCUCGCUGAGCAGGCAGAGCGCUAUGACGACAUGGCCGGGGCCAUGAAGUCUGUGACGGAGCAGGGCGGGGAACUCUCCAACGAGGAGCGCAACCUGCUGUCAGUGGCCUACAAGAACGUGGUGGGGGCACGCCGCUCAUCCUGGCGCGUCAUCUCCAGCAUCGAGCAGAAGACAGAGGGCAACGAGAAGAAGCAGGCCAUGGCCAAGGAGUACCGGGAGAAGAUUGAGACCGAGCUGCAGGACAUCUGCAAUGAUGUGCUGGGACUUCUUGACAAGUACCUAAUUGCCAAUGCGACUGCAGCUGAGAGCAAGGUUUUCUACCUGAAAAUGAAAGGCGACUAUUAUAGAUACCUGUCUGAGGUAGCAGCUGGAGACGCAAAGAAGACCACAGUGGAUAACUCCCAGCAGGCAUACCAGGAUGCUUUCGACAUAAGCAAGAAGGAGAUGCAGCCCACACACCCCAUCAGGCUCGGCCUGGCCCUCAACUUCUCUGUGUUCUUCUAUGAAAUCCUCAACAACCCAGAGAAGGCCUGCACCUGGCCAAAACGGCAUUUGAUGAAGCCAUCGCUGAACUUGACACCUUAAACGAGGAUUCCUACAAAGACAGCACCUUGAUCAUGCAACUACUAAGGGACAACCUGACUCUGUGGACAUCGGAAAACCAGGGAGACGAGGGAGAGACCGGAGAAGGAGAAAACUAAUGGAAUUGCACUGUUAAUCCACCUACACUCUUAAACACAAACAGCUUAUAAACAUCCCCCUCCACUCCAUCAGCCCCUCCCCCUUCUGUAUGACAAGCAGCCUGAAUUGUUCCUGACCAACUAGUUUACCCCUCUCAGGUCACUGAGGCGACAGGGUAAUGUUCAGUUGUUAGCAGGUUGUCAUUUUGUUUGUGAAAAUAAUGUGGUUGUAUUGAGUAGCGAGUCCAUGUUUGUGUGCGCGCGUGCUAGAUCAUAUGUCUGUGCGCCUGUGUGUAUGACUGUUUGUGUUGGGGGCCGGGGGGUUGUGAAUUCUAAUCAUCCUUCAUUUCUUUGUCCUACCUAGCUGGUUAAACAUUUUUCAUUCUUUUUUUUUAUGGUCAUUUUUUUUUAGUGUGAUUCGUCAUGGUAUUUGAAGGUUUUAUCUUAUGGUUAUUAAACUGGCAGUUAAUUUUCACCUAACACUGUGAUGCUAAGUGUUGCAUUUUCUUCCCCACUCCACUAUUGCUUGCUUUUGAAGUUCUGACACGCAGUACAAUCCUGUAUUUAACUAACAGUGCAAUUCUGCUGUCUGCUCAUACAGAAAGGAGGCAGGCUAUAUUGUGACACUGGCAUCUGGGUGUUUUGCUCUAAUCAUGAUCACAAUUUUAACGGUUUGAUUAAGGGGCCCCUUCGUUCGCCAUGUUAGAUUUCCUCCAUAAGACAUUCCACCAGAAUUAUAUUAGGCAUUCUGAAAGGCAGAACUCUUUUUGAACAAAUUGUGGAUUAUUGUCCUAGUGGUGUAACUCACGGUUCAAGAUCAAGCGCUGCUUGAACUCGGUACAAUGAAAAUUUUAUGUGCUUAAAUGUACCUUGUAUUUUGCAAGAUUGACUAUCAUCUUUCUGUAAAACCUACAGUAACCUUUUUUCAACGUUAAUUGAAAAUGUCUUAUCACACUGUAUCAACCCUGCUUGCAAAAUAUUCCUCUUAAAGCGGUUGUUUUCUCCAA